GUGUGCUCCAGGCUUUGUCUGUGUUUGCCCAGAGUCUGAUUUAAAGGACAACAAAGCAAAACUAACAGCAACAAAGUAAAACUUAGGAAGUUUCUCUUUUUAGUGUGGUUGUACUUAUCCACAGCAGUGUCUUUAACUCUGAAAAUACAACUGACCCUGGUCCCUGCUCGGAGCGCUUCUGUUGUUCAGGAGGUGGAUAGAGAACCCUCCAGUUUCCAGUCCCUGCGUGACUUGAGUUUUGGGAGUCGAGUAGGAACAUUAUCACUCUUGCUGCUGCUGCAGCCGCCGCUGCUGCAGUCAGUUUUGGAGAGUCUCUGCUCGCUGAUAAAGAUACAGUGUUUCUUCACACUUUAUCCCGGAGGACGUAGAGAAACAAAUUACCCCUCAACAGCUUCCAUGUCGCCCCAUUGUUCCCCCACUGUUAUGGAAACAUAGACCCUGCGUUUUCUUUUCAUUUUCCUGGAGCAAGUCUUUCCUGUUGCUUCCUGCUGCUGGGUAGCAAGGGCUCAGUGGUGAGCCUUUGUCCUGGCUGCGGCUGUGUUAGUAAGCUGGCUUCACUUCAGACGUCUCCUUAUUGGACAUGGUGCAAUGGGUUUUCUGGAAUGCGUGCUGGAAGUUCAUUUUUUGGGAGGGACUCUUCCUUUGGAUUGGCAGCUCCUGUGUCCCAGCUUCCGAGUGGUGUUAAUGUUUGUGGUUAUCUGGAGCUAACAAGUGAGAAAUAGCUUCUUCUAAAAAAUAUUUAGGCCUGGCUUGGUGUCACACCUUUAAUCCUUGCAUUCCAGAGGCAGAGACAAUCAGCUACUUGAGUUCAAGGCCAGCCAGGUCUACUUA
rnacentral:lncRNA from 1 species